UUAUUCCCCACUGCUGCCUCCCGUAGGAGUCUGGGCCGUGUCUCAGUCCCAAUGUGGCCGAUCGACCUCUCAGUCCGGCUACCGAUCGUCGGCUUGGUGAGCCGUUGCCUCAUCAACUACCUAAUCGGACGCGAGCCCAUCUUUCAGCGAAAAAUCAUUUGAUGUUUUCCUCAUGCGGAGAAAACAUGUCAUGCGGUAUUAUCAGUCGUUUCCAACUGCUAUCCCGCUCUGAAAGGCAGGUUGCUCACGUGUUACUCACCCGUCCGCCACUCAGUCAAAGAAAAAUCAUUCCGAAGAAAUCAAUUUCAGUGCUUCGUUCGACUUGCAUGUGUUAAGCACGCCGCCAGCGUUCAUCCUGAGCCAAA
rnacentral:rRNA from 1 species